UUAUUUGUAUACUCAUAAAUACAAUUUUUAUCGAGACAUCAUUAUAGGUAAUUUUGUAUUCUAUUAUUACUGAGCGUGUGCGUGAGAGACUUAGAGAGAGAGACAGACAGAGAGAAAGAGGGAGAGAUAACAACACGUGGCUGAAAAAUACCUACCACAAACUCCAAUAACGCGAUAGCGUGCCAGCGGUACUCUACGUAGUCGCUCGAGCUACCAGAUGCAGAUCUCCCUCUCAAAUCACAUAUUAACGUCUUAAGAAAAGGACUUAUUGGAUAACGUAGUUUAAAAUACAUUAUGACGGAUUCAAAGACGAUGUGAUCAUGAUUGGAAUACCUUUGGUUACCCUGACCUCGGGCGGAACAACGUGAUCGAAGCAGUACAUAAAUGGAUACUUAAGGGAACUCAUCAAUUACAACUAGAAUGACAGAAACCAGAUCUUCUGGUGGUGAUUUUAAUUGAUGACUUGACUUAAUAUCAGAAUCUUCAAAGCUUAUUGAGUGAGCAGAUGUCGACGGUACAUCGAGGUUAGAUGUCUGUGAUGGUGAGGAUGUGGACGGAGUAGACAUGAGUGGCUGAUCUGAUGACAGAGACUCUCUAGCUAACCUUCGUUUCUUCAGUGGAGUGACAAAAUCUGCAGUACAAAGUUGAUUUUUGUGUUGUCAACAAACAGCAGAUCCAACACUUGAGUCCAUUUUACCAGAAACUGAAAUGUGACUCAUUCUCCGAUGAAGAUGCUCCAAUGAGCUACGUGGACUAUGGAAGCAAGUAACAAAUGCAGUUUCUUCUAUGUUGACCUCCAAUGGUUCUGUUUUGGUAGCUGGUAAUACUGUUUUCGUAUCUUUGCCUUCUAGCCAUUCACUCAUCUAAAUAAAAUAAAUAAAUGAAUAAUAAAAUCUAUGUUUGGAAAAGUUUAUUUAAAAUUUCUUACUUAAAUACAUAACUGAAUAAAGGAACACAAAAAUGUUUGGAAAAUAUUUGGUGUCAAAUUUUCAUUUUAUAAAAUUAAAUCAUAAAAAUAA